AAGCCAGUGGUGAACUCCACAUACGCAUCCUUUGCUGAGGAUACGGUUAACGGAGCGAAAGCGACGUUCAACCGCAAAAGAAGCAGAGGGGGCUUAGUGGUGGGGUGACUGCGUACCUUUUGUAUAAUGGGUCAGCGACUUAUAUUCUGUAGCAAGGUUAACCGAAUAGGGGAGCCGGAGGGAAACCGAGUCUUAACCGGGCGUUAAGUUGCAGGGUAUAGACCCGAAACCCGGUGAUCUAGCCAUGGGCAGGUUGAAGGUUGGGUAACACUAACUGGAGGACCGAACCGACUAAUGUUGAAAAAUUAGCGGAUGACCUGUGGCUGGGGGUGAAAGGCCAAUCAAACCGGGAGAUAGCUGGUUCUCCCCGAAAGCUAUUUAGGUAGCGCCUCGUGAAUUCAUCUCCGGGGGUAGAGCACUGUUUCGGCUAGGGGGCCAUCCCGGCUUACCAACCCGAUGCAAACUGCGAAUACCGGAGAAUGUUAUCACGGGAGACACACGGCGGGUGCUAACGUCCGUCGUGAAGAGGGAAACAACCCAGACCGCCAGCUAAGGUCCCAAAGUCAUGGUUAAGUGGGAAACGAUGUGGGAAGGCCCAGACAGCCAGGAUGUUGGCUUAGAAGCAGCCAUCAUUUAAAGAAAGCGUAAUAGCUCACUGGUCGAGUCGGCCUGCGCGGAAGAUGUAACGGGGCUAAACCAUGCACCGAAGCUGCGGCAGCGAACGUAUCACUUAAAGCGAUUCAGCGGGUUACGAUUGACGGAGCGAAGCGACGUCAAAGCGUAUACAAAGUCGAGUCGGUUUAAGGAUACGUUCGUUGGGUAGGGGAGCGUUCUGUAAGC
rnacentral:rRNA from 1 species